GAUGAACGCUGGCGGCGUGCCUAAUACAUGCAAGUCGAGCGAACGGACGAGAAGCUUGCUUUUCUGAUGUUAGCGGCGGACGGGCGAGUAACACGUGGAUAACCUACCUAUAAGACUGGGAUAACUUCGGGAAACCGGAGCUAAUACCGGAUAAUAUUUUGAACCGCAUGGUUCAAAAGUGAAAGACGGUCUUGCUGUCACUUAUAGAUGGAUCCGCGCUGCAUUAGCUAGUUGGUAGGGUAACGGCUUACCAAGGCAACGAUGCAUAGCCGACCUGAGAGGGUGAUCGGCCACACUGGAACUGAGACACGGUCCAGACUCCUACGGGAGGCAGCAGUAGGGAAUCUUCCGCAAUGGGCGAAAGCCUGACGGAGCAACGCCGCGUGAGUGAUGAAGGUCUUCGGAUCGUAAAACUCUGUUAUUAGGGAAGAACAUAUGUGUGAGUAACUGUGCACAUCUUGACGGUACCUAAUCAGAAAGCCACGGCUAACUACGUGCCAGCAGCCGCGGUAAUACGUAGGUGGCAAGCGUUAUCCGGAAUUAUUGGGCGUAAAGCGCGCGUAGGCGGUUUUUUAAGUCUGAUGUGAAAGCCCACGGCUCAACCGUGGAGGGUCAUUGGAAACUGGAAAACUUGAGUGCAGAAGAGGAAAGUGGAAUUCCAUGUGUAGCGGUGAAAUGCGCAGAGAUGUGGAGGAACACCAGUGGCGAAGGCGACUUUCUGGUCUGUAACUGACGCUGAUGUGCGAAAGCGUGGGGAUCAAACAGGAUUAGAUACCCUGGUAGUCCACGCCGUAAACGAUGAGUGCUAAGUGUUAGGGGGUUUCCGCCCCUUAGUGCUGCAGCUAACGCAUUAAGCACUCCGCCUGGGGAGUACGACCGCAAGGUUGAAACUCAAAGGAAUUGACGGGGGCCCGCACAAGCGGUGGAGCAUGUGGUUUAAUUCGAAGCAACGCGAAGAACCUUACCAAAUCUUGACAUCCUUUGACAACUCUAGAGAUAGAGCCUUCCCCUUCGGGGGACAAAGUGACAGGUGGUGCAUGGUUGUCGUCAGCUCGUGUCGUGAGAUGUUGGGUUAAGUCCCGCAACGAGCGCAACCCUUAAGCUUAGUUGCCAUCAUUAAGUUGGGCACUCUAAGUUGACUGCCGGUGACAAACCGGAGGAAGGUGGGGAUGACGUCAAAUCAUCAUGCCCCUUAUGGUUUGGGCUACACACGUGCUACAAUGGACAAUACAAAGGGCAGCGAAACCGCGAGGUCAAGCAAAUCCCAUAAAGUUGUUCUCAGUUCGGAUUGUAGUCUGCAACUCGACUACAUGAAGCUGGAAUCGCUAGUAAUCGUAGAUCAGCAUGCUACGGUGAAUACGUUCCCGGGUCU
rnacentral:rRNA from 1 species